rnacentral:rRNA from 1 species
CAUGCAGUCGAACGAUGAACUGGAGCUUGCUCCAGGGAUUAGUGGCGAACGGGUGAGUAACACGUGAGUAACCUGCCCUUGACUCUGGGAUAAGCGCUAGAAAUGGCGUCUAAUACCGGAUACGAGCUUCAGCCGCAUGGCUAGGAGUUGGAAAGAAUUUUGGUCAAGGAUGGACUCGCGGCCUAUCAGCUAGUUGGUGAGGUAAUGGCUCACCAAGGCGACGACGGGUAGCCGGCCUGAGAGGGUGACCGGCCACACUGGGACUGAGACACGGCCCAGACUCCUACGGGAGGCAGCAGUGGGGAAUAUUGCACAAUGGGCGAAAGCCUGAUGCAGCAACGCCGCGUGAGGGAUGACGGCCUUCGGGUUGUAAACCUCUUUUAGUAGGGAAGAAGCGAAAGUGACGGUACCUGCAGAAAAAGCACCGGCUAACUACGUGCCAGCAGCCGCGGUAAUACGUAGGGUGCAAGCGUUGUCCGGAAUUAUUGGGCGUAAAGAGCUCGUAGGCGGUUUGUCGCGUCUGCUGUGAAAUCUGGGGGCUCAACCCCCAGCCUGCAGUGGGUACGGGCAGACUAGAGUGCGGUAGGGGAGAUUGGAAUUCCUGGUGUAGCGGUGGAAUGCGCAGAUAUCAGGAGGAACACCGAUGGCGAAGGCAGAUCUCUGGGCCGUAACUGACGCUGAGGAGCGAAAGCAUGGGGAGCGAACAGGAUUAGAUACCCUGGUAGUCCAUGCCGUAAACGUUGGGAACUAGAUGUGGGGGCCAUUCCACGGUCUCCGUGUCGCAGCUAACGCAUUAAGUUCCCCGCCUGGGGAGUACGGCCGCAAGGCUAAAACUCAAAGGAAUUGACGGGGGCCCGCACAAGCGGCGGAGCAUGCGGAUUAAUUCGAUGCAACGCGAAGAACCUUACCAAGGCUUGACAUAUACCGGAAACGUCCAGAGAUGGUCGCCCCGCAAGGUCGGUAUACAGGUGGUGCAUGGUUGUCGUCAGCUCGUGUCGUGAGAUGUUGGGUUAAGUCCCGCAACGAGCGCAACCCUCGUUCUAUGUUGCCAGCACGUUAUGGUGGGAACUCAUAGGAGACUGCCGGGGUCAACUCGGAGGAAGGUGGGGAUGACGUCAAAUCAUCAUGCCCCUUAUGUCUUGGGCUUCACGCAUGCUACAAUGGCCGGUACAAAGGGCUGCGAUACCGUAAGGUGGAGCGAAUCCCAAAAAGCCGGUCUCAGUUCGGAUUGAGGUCUGCAACUCGACCUCAUGAAGUCGGAGUCGCUAGUAAUCGCAGAUCAGC